rnacentral:rRNA from 1 species
GACGAACGCUGGCGGCGUGCCUAAUACAUGCAAGUCGAGCGGACAGAAGGGAGCUUGCUCCCGGAGGUUAGCGGCGGACGGGUGAGUAACACGUGGGCAACCUACCCUGUAGAUCGGGAUAACAUCGAGAAAUCGGUGCUAAUACCGGAUAAUCAUUUGAAGUGCAUGCUUCGAAUGUAAAAGAUGGCUCCGGCUAUCACUACGGGAUGGGCCCGCGGCGCAUUAGCUAGUUGGUAAGGUAAUGGCUUACCAAGGCAACGAUGCGUAGCCGACCUGAGAGGGUGAUCGGCCACACUGGGACUGGAACACGGCCCAGACUCCUACGGGAGGCAGCAGUAGGGAAUCUUCCGCAAUGGACGAAAGUCUGACGGAGCAACGCCGCGUGAGUGAUGAAGGUUUUCGGAUCGUAAAGCUCUGUUGUUAGGGAAGAACAAGUGCCGUUUGAAUAAGGCGGCACCUUGACGGUACCUAACCAGAAAGCCACGGCUAACUACGUGCCAGCCGCCGCCGUAAUAC